rnacentral:rRNA from 1 species
CGAAGGUGCAAGCGUUACUCGGAAUUACUGGGCGUAAAGCGUGCGUAGGUGGUGGCUUAAGUCCGUUGUGAAAGCCCUGGGCUCAACCUGGGAAUUGCAGUGGAUACUGGGUCACUAGAGUGUGGUAGAGGGUGGCGGAAUUCCCGGUGUAGCAGUGAAAUGCGUAGAGAUCGGGAGGAACACCCGUGGCGAAGGCGGCCACCUGGGCCAACACUGACACUGAGGCACGAAAGCGUGGGGAGCAAACAGGAUU